UAGAAAGAAAGAGCACGUUAUCUGCAGACACAAAACCGCAUGCUGGUACAGCAGCUCACGCAAGUCCAGCAUUGCCUCGAGGCAAAGAUAUUCAACUGUAAGUGUUUCUCUGGUGAUGCUCAGUUUUGUUUCACAAGGAAAGCACACUUGACAAAAAAUGACAGCUGUGCAUAAAAAUGAGCCCCUGUUUUAAUUAAUUCCAGUGGAAGAAAGACCUACAUGCAUGUGCUCCAAAAAAUGCUUGGUGGACUGCGAAAGGGACCGCUACACCACUGCAAAAGCAUUUGAAAGAUAUGAUCCACCACCAACCCCCGUGCUUUCUCAGAGGAAGCCAUGGUAGAGGUAGAUGAUGGUCAGCAUGAUUUGCAACUGCUUCAGCCGACUGAAGCAGACAAGCCAGAGUUUACCUAUACAGAAGACGGGUUU